GCCCGAAGCCGAUUAUCUAACCUUUUGGAAGAAGUCGUCGAAGGUGGAAUCAAUAACUGGGGUGAAGUCGUAACAAGGUAGCCGUAUCGGAAGGUGAGGCUGGAUCACCUCCUUUCUAAGGAGA
rnacentral:rRNA from 1 species